AGCACGCUCCAGCCCGGACCCGAGGUGGUCCGCUUCCAAAUUCCCCCGCCGUACCGCCGCGCCGCCCGAGCUAAGUAGCCGACCCCUCUAGCAUUGACUUCCUCUGUGCUAGUACUUCGUAGUUAUCCGGUAUCUUUUUGCUACCGCAUCUCGUGGAUUUUCUCUCACGCUUUCAUCUUCAUCUCAAGUUUGCUUUUUCCGAUUUGCUUCAGGAAUUUUGAUAUUUGAAAUAUGAAACACCUCCUGUCCCUCACCUUCGCCGCCAUGCUGUUGAGCACAGCCACGGCUGGGCCCAUCGGAGCGGGGAUUUGCUAUGCUGGUUGCGCCGGUGUAGUGGUGGCUUGCUUCAGUGCCGCAGGAUUCACUUUCGGUACUGUCCCCGGAGCACAAAUCGCAGCCGUCCCUGCCUUGGCGGCUUGUAAUAGCGCCUUCGGAUCUUGUAUGGCAGCAUGUAGUGCUGCACUUGCACUUCCAAUACCCUAAUUUCAAAGUUUUGGAGUUUGAUUCACUGACGACGACCUUGAUUGUUGGGUCAGGACUUGCAUUUUGUAAAGGAUAUACUAUUUAAUGAAGGCGUCAUCGGCUCUUCUACAUUCUGGAAUAUUUCUCAUAAAAGCUAGAGCUCAGGGGCAGCGGUCGAUCUCCGAAGAAUCUCACCUCAGUAAACAUAGUUGCAUCGGAGUGCCGUGGUUUUGUUUUGCCCGAGUCGGGCGAGAUACGAGUACCAUCCUCGCUAGUUGUUUACAAUUUCUGGACUUGAGUUUAUCUCCUGAUUCUGUUUCAAGUGCUUUUGUGUUUCGAGUGCGGCUUCAAGGACGCUAUCAGUGAACGGUAAGUUCUGUUCCUUCCAAUCGAUGAACUGGGAUUUUAUCUCAAGGAUGAAUGAUGUUUCGAGCAAUUCCGUUGAAAGCGGAGCUGGACAUUACGUCUUUUAGUCGAGAGUGAGAUGGGAUUUUGUUUUUCUUAUUCUUCUUUCUAAGUCAAAAAGGAAUUUGACUUUUGACUAUUUUUUCUAUUUGACUUCACGCCGCGAUGAAAUAUUUGAAAUUAUGUUUUUGUUUGACAAAAUGCUUCCUCCUUGUAGCUUGUAACUUUCCUCACAUAUGAUCUGCUCUAACUAGACUUGCUGUGAAGACGAAAAAUCGAAACGAUUUCUAGGUUGCCACUUCUAGCUCAAAUUUGUCUAAAUUUUAGUUUAAUACAAUGUCAUUCUUACUUUUUAUUUUCAUUUUUCCCCUCAACCCUUUUGUAUCUUAUCUUAAUUUCCAUGUAAAUUUAUUACUACUACUGCCUUCUUUAGAGGUGUAAAUGGCCAUAGAUGUUAAAGCACCGCUUUAAAAUAAAAUUAUAUU
rnacentral:lncRNA from 1 species